UGGGGUGUGGUGCAGCGGGAGCACAGUGGCCUUUGAUGGCAUGGCUAUCAACUACGUAUGCGGUUACGACCCGGGUUCGACUCCCGGCACUCCAA
rfam:Giardia lamblia ATCC 50803 SC_577 genomic scaffold, whole genome shotgun sequence.